rnacentral:tmRNA from 1 species
GGGGAUGAUCGGUUUCGACAUCGCCUGCGAGACCGCGUGAAGCGGGCCGAGGAUGCAGGGUUAUCUCGAAAACGCUCCCUGCGAACCAAUAACUGCCAAUAAGUCGCAGAACGACUACGCCCUCGCUGCCUAAGCGAGUCCGUUAGUCCGUCAGCCCGGGUUCGUUCCCGCCCCGGUCGCUGGCGUCAUCUAGGGAACUCGCUGUGCGACGUCGCCUGAGCGUCGUACGGGACUCUUUCAGGCUGGGCCCGUCGACCUGGCUGCCUGUGGCAAGGGUCGGGGCCGAGCAGAACGCCUCACAGGAUGCGCCCGGAGAAACCGUGGAAUCCCAGCGAUGGACGGGGGUUCAAUUCCCCCCAUCUCCACCA